UACGAAGGGGGCUAGCGUUGCUCGGAAUCACUGGGCGUAAAGGGUGCGUAGGCGGGUCUUUUAAGUCAGGGGUGAAAUCCUGGAGCUCAACUCCAGAACUGCCUUUGAUACUGAAGAUCUUGAGUUCGGGAGAGGUGAGUGGAACUGCGAGUGUAGAGGUGAAAUUCGUAGAUAUCGGGAGGAACACCAGUGGCGAAGGCGGCGAUCUGGGGAAGAUACUGGACGCUGAGGUG
rnacentral:rRNA from 1 species